GGCGUGCUUAACACAUGCAAGUCGAACGAGCUCCAACCAGUGGCAACACUGGGGAAGAGCGAGUGGCGAACGGGUGAGUAACACGUGAGCAACCUGCCUCGAAGACCGGGAUAACAGCGGGAAACCGCUGCUAAUACUGGAUACCCCCAUCGGGUCGCAUGGCCUGAUGAGGAAAUGAAUUUCGCUUCGAGAGGGGCUCGCGGGCUAUCAGCUUGUUGGUGGGGUAACGGCCUACCAAGGCGACGACGGCUAGCUGGUCUGAGAGGACGACCAGCCACACUGGGACUGAGACACGGCCCAGACUCCUACGGGAGGCAGCAGUGGGAAUCUUGCGCAAUGGGCGAAAGCCUGACGCAGCAACGCCACGUGCGGGAUGAAUGCCUUCGGGUUGUAAACCGCUUUCAGCAGGGACGAAAUUGACGGUACCUGCAGAAGAAGCCCCGGCCAACUACGUGCCAGCAGCCGCGGUAAUACGUAGGGGGCGAGCGUUGUCCGGAUUCAUUGGGCGUAAAGCGCUUUAAGGCGGUUCGGUAAGUCGCGUGUGAAACCUCCAGGCUCAACCUGGAGACGCCACGCGAUACUGCCGUGACUAGAGUCCGGUAGGGGACCACGGAAUUCCUGGUGUAGCGGUGAAAUGCGCAGAUAUCAGGAGGAACACCAGUGGCGAAGGCGGUGGUCUGGGCCGGUACUGACGCUGUAGAGCGAAAGCGUGGGGAGCGAACAGGAUUAGAUACCCUGGUAGUCCACGCCGUAAACGUUGGGCACUAGGUGUGGGGGGUUAUCAACGCCUUCCGUGCCGUAGCUAACGCAUUAAGUGCCCCGCCUGGGGAGUACGGCCCGCAGGCUAAAACU
rnacentral:rRNA from 1 species